rnacentral:misc_RNA from 1 species
UCGCGUCUUACGACGGCAGUUUCUCCAGAGUUCCCACCAUUACGUGCUGGCAACUGAAGAUAGGGGUUGCGCUCGUUGCGGGACUUAACCCAACACCUCACGGCACGAGCUGACGACGGCCAUGCAGCACCUUACUAUCUGUUCUUGCGAAAAAAUCCCUUUCAGGACCUGUCAAAUAGCAUUCUAGCCCAGGUAAGGUUCCUCGCGUAUCAUCGAAUUAAACCACAUACUCCACCGCUUGUGCGGACCCCCGUCAAUUCCUUUGAGUUUCAUCCUUGCGGACGUACUUCCCAGGUGGAUUACUUAAUGCUUUCGCUCAGACACUGAUCAGUCAUAUCGCCAAUGUCGAGUAAUCAUCGUUUAGGGCGUGGACUAC